AUGUUGGUCGGGCUUAUUGACCUUUCCAAGAAGUUGGAGGUUGGCCAGACUAAGUUCACGGAGGAAUCCGAGCGAGAUGAGCAUGUUGUUGCUGAAGUAGGACUUAAGAUUAAGUCUGGCCAUGAGGUUUCCAAGGCCAUAAUUGAGGACUUAUCUGCCGUAGAAAAGAAGUGCACUGAAAUGGAGGCACGUGAAGAAGAGUUGAAGGCCCAGUUUGAAGAGGUUACUGCUACUUUGCACAUGCUUAAGUUGGAAAUGGAACAACGCCGACAAGCACAUGAUGCCCAUCAAUCUGAACAGGAGAAGUUGGUGAAGAGUGUACAGGAUACCAAUGCUGGCAAACGUGCAAGGCUUGCUGAAUUUAAACAAAAGACAGCAGAUUUAAAGACUGAAGCAAGUCAGUUGUUGAACAGCCUGCAGAACUGGCGAGCUCUUUGA
rnacentral:rRNA from 1 species